rnacentral:rRNA from 1 species
ACAUCGAUGUCUAGGGGUUCUGAGAGGAUUGUCCCCCACACUGGUACUGAGACACGGACCAGACUCCUACGGGAGGCAGCAGUGAGGAAUAUUGGUCAAUGGGCGAGAGCCUGAACCAGCCAUGCCGCGUGCAGGAUGAAGGUUCUAUGAAUCGUAAACUGCUUUUCUACAGGAAGAAACCUACUCUCGUGAGAGUAGCUGCCGGUACUGUAGGAAUAAGCACCGGCUAACUCCGUGCCAGCAGCCGCGGUAAUACGGAGGGUGCAAGCGUUAUCCGGAUUUAUUGGGUUUAAAGGGUGCGUAGGCGGAAUAUUAAGUCAGUGGUGAAAUCCUGCGGCUCAACCGUAGAACUGCCAUUGAUACUGAUAUUCUUGAAUGUAGUUGAGGUAGGCGGAAUGUGUAAUGUAGCGGUGAAAUGCUUAGAUAUUACACAGAACACCGAUUGCGAAGGCAGCUUACUAAACUAUGAUUGACGCUGAGGCACGAAAGCGUGGGGAGCGAACAGGAUUAGAUACCCUGGUAGUCCACGCUGUAAACGAUGAUCACUCGUUGUUUGCGAUAUAUUGUAAGCGACUGAGCGAAAGCAUAAGUGAUCCACCUGGGGAGUACGUUCGCAAGAAUGAAACUCAAAGGAAUUGACGGGGGCCCGCACAAGCGGAGGAACAUGUGGUUUAAUUCGAUGAUACGCGAGGAACCUUACCUGGGUUUAAAUGUAGGUUGCAUGAGCGGGAAACUGCUCUUUCUUUCGGGACUACCUACAAGGUGCUGCAUGGUUGUCGUCAGCUCGUGCCGUGAGGUGUCGGGUUAAGUCCCAUAACGAGCGCAACCCCUAUCGUUAGUUGCCAUCAGGUCAUGCUGGGGACUCUAACGAGACUGCCGGUGUAAACCGUGAGGAAGGUGGGGAUGACGUCAAAUCAGCACGGCCCUUAUAUCCAGGGCUACACACGUGUUACAAUGGUCGGUACAAAGGGCAGCUACCUGGUGACAGGAUGCUAAUCUCUAAAGCCGAUCACAGUUCGGAUCGAAGUCUGCAACUCGACUUCGUGAAGUUGGAUUCGCUAGUAAUCGCGCAUCAGCCACGGCGCGGUGAAUACGUUCCCGGGCCUUGUACACACCGCCCGUCAAGCCAUGGAAGCUGGGGGUGCCUGAAGUCUGUAACCGCAAGGAGCGGCCUAAGGUAAAACUAGUAACUGGGGCUAAGUCGUAACAAGGUA